UUUUUUUCUUUAAAAAACCAAAUAAUCACUCUCUUGAGCUAAUUUUAUUCCUAGUUUGAGUACUAUUUAGCUGACCGAAUUGAAAUUAAACACAAACAUGUGCAUACAGUUUUCAUCAAGUGUAGCUUCAAAUGAUCAAAAUUCGUUUUCCCAGCGUAUUAUGUUAAGGCCUAAGGGAAUUAAUGUGGAACUACUAAUUACAAAGGAUUAGCAUCUAAAAACUCAAAAAACUACCAAUAAUUACAAAGGAUUUAAUCUCCUGUGCCUACACCAAUAAUAGAUGAAUGCAAAAAUCCUGUAGGAACCGCCGCCUGAGAAGAAAAAUCACGGCGACCGCGGCGAGGCAGCGGAGGAGGACGAGACGUUGCGCAGUCGGCUCGGCGCCGGCCGGAAGCUCCACUUCCUCAGCGCCCCGGCGCCNNN
rnacentral:lncRNA from 1 species